ACCUCCGAAUAGUGCCACUCCCUGGGCCAAGCACAUUCAAACCACCACAGGGUCCAUCUUUGAUUCUCACGGACACAGCUAAUUGACAUGAAGAUCAGUGCCCAUCAUAGUAUGUACAAGUGUGGAGUGCCAUUGAGUUGUCCGUGGGAUCGGAUGCUAUGAUGGGCAGAAAGAACAUUUACAUGGUGCUUGAGGAGGACUCAGCGAUGGCUCCUGCCCUUGGUGCCCAGCACAGCAGAGCACAUGCCUAUGAUGGGCUUCCAAGACACACACUUCUACCCUGUGCUGAAGGGACAACUGAAACAGCUUGUUCCCAAGACAGCUAUGGGACACAAAGUUGGCGGUUGGUGUGGCUCCUGCAGGGAACCUGGCCACUCUCCAGCAAGCCUCCUGCUGGUGUUUCCCCAAAGGUGUGUGUUGUGUUGGAGUUUGGGGGCCCAAGUAAUUAGCCCCAAUCUAUAUUGAUGGCAUUUUAGAUUAGCGACAGCUGCGCCUGGCUUGUGUCCCGUGCGUGCAGUAGGGACACAGAUGUAGAAGGGAAAUGCUAAAAUAUAAAUAAAAGUAAAAAGGAUAAUAAAAAAAUGAUAACACUAUGUGUGCAGGGGGAGGGGGAUGGAGAGGAGGAGGAAGGAGGGGAGGGUGGCCAUGUUCACUCAGCUCACAGUUUCUCACCUCAGUGGAUUCCUGGCUUGUGGAAGAGUCAAGAUGGAGGCUCCCUAGGGUGGAACCAUCACUGGCUGAUCUUGGGGAGGACCUGCGUUCCGUUCCCAGCAUCCACAUGGCAACCUACAACCAUCCAUAACUCCAGUUCCAGGGGACCUGGUGUCUUCUGGCCUCUGCAGGCUCCAGGCAUGCACAAGGCGUACAGACAUGCUUUCAGGUGAAACACCCGGACACAUAAAUAAAAGUAAACACAUUGAAAAAUGGAGCCAUCAAGGUGACAGGAUUGGAAUCUCAUGUGAAGGCCUUAGUGGGGUAAGUGUCAUGGAAGGCACAGCAGUGUCCCC
rnacentral:lncRNA from 1 species